UCAGACUGAGUUGCUUUUUGGUAGAUGUCUUCUUGAAGUUUGGAAUUUAAAACUUCUUGUGUCUUUUUCCAAUAAUCAAGUCUUUUGAACUUAAUCAUUAUUGGCGUCUCUGAUAUUUCACAGAGAUUAUAGAGAGAGAUGAGUUCAGAGGUAGAUUGUAUUAUCUAUCUUCCAACUUUGUAAAUAUGUUCUUUGAUAGGUUUCAAAGAACGUUCUUUUUCUACCAAGUGAUUGAUUAGACUGGUCAUAUGAUGGAAAAACUUCUUUUUAAGUUGGAAUAGAUGAGCAUCCCAUGCUUUAUAAAUUAUAGAACAUAUUUCCUGAGGAAGAUCAGAAUGGAAG
rnacentral:lncRNA from 1 species